rnacentral:lncRNA from 1 species
CUUGAGCCAAUGCGUUUUGUAGUCCAACAACUGAACACUGCAACUCGCAGUUCGAGGAAAGAAACCAAAGAAAAUUGCAAGUCAUGGCAAGGAAGCGCGAGGCAGGAGCAGGCAGGCAGGCAGCGGAUGCAAGAAAAAUGGAGCAAAGCUGAAGCGAACGCAGGUUCCAAUUAUUAUCGUCCUUUAGAUUGAUGCAAAAGUGGGAAAGUAUGGAUCUGAGCCGUGCCGGCAGUGACCCAAUUUCUUUUUUCUGGUCACUUUAACGAAUACCCCGGUCCCACAAAGAUCGGUCGGUUAGCUUUCAAAACUUAUCCACAAAGAGUGCCCGUAUAAGAUAAUCCAACAAAAAUUCUCAUAAUACCUUCUAGCCCAAUUAAUAAAUUGAUCAUUUACUCUCACCAUCGAUGAUGCCCGAGCCAUACUCGUUAAAUAAGGAAGGCUAAUCGGUUCAACAAUUACUAUAAGCGUACAUACAUAAUUAAUUCUACUUGGUAAUCCAUCCAAUUAAGAAGAGUUAUUAGGGUACUUUGAACUUUUAGCAUUGCUACUAUCUUAUCUAGAAUUUUCAAAACGAACCCUCUUUGUGAGACGGAGGGAGUAAGUCCUCUUUCAGAUGAAUGGUUUUAUAAUUACCACUCUCACAGCCCAGGCCAUCAUUUUCAGGGUCUAGAGGGGGCCCAACCGUAGUGAUGAAAGGUCGAUUUGUUGAUAUUUGUAUGAUGCUAUUUUUCCCGAAAGAAGAGAGCUAUUCUGUAUGAUGCUAUUUUACUUUCUUUAAAGUAUGAUGUUGUCCAUUUAUGAAAGAAAAAAUUAAGACUUUACGGAGGUUUACAACUAAUGUAAUAUCUCCUGAGUGACAUGAAAACUUGAAACAUUCUCCAUAAAAUAAACCUUCCCUAAAAUAAAAUUUUGGACAUAAAGAGUUAAAACCGUCCUCUAACAAUUCCCAAAAUACAUGUUUAAUAUUUUAGUUAGCCGAAACCCACUGACAGAUUAAUGCGAUAUGCGGAAGGUUUACACAUGUCGAUCGCCGUUUCCGCAUUAAAAUCAAUCUUGUGCAUCUCCAUCAAUUUAAAAAAAAAACUUGCCCAACGUGUCCUAAACUAUUAAUAGAUGAUGUUACACAUAUUUAAUUUUCUAUCUGAUUUUUAGGAAUUGUUGGUAGGGAUUUUUAGUUUUGAAAAGACCUAAAACUUGAAAUUUUCUCUUUCAGAAACGGGUGGAGAUGCUCAGCCCAGAAUUACUUCAUGAGCACUCGAAAAAAACAUCAUGAGCGGUUGGUACUCAUCUCGACGGCCCCGGUGCAGCCAGGUAUGUGCGGUUUGUUGGAUCCGGUUCCUCUGAAGUUUUUGAAACUACCUCAGAGAGAGGUAGGUUGCUGCUGGCCAAUCGUUGGACAUCUAACGGACACGACGGGAAGUAAGGAACUUGGUUCAGACAUAUGGCCCGUAAAUAAAAUAGCUCAGGCUUGCCACGCAAGGUAAAAGAAGUCUCUUCGUUAGAAAAAGCAGCUGCUCGUUAGGCUUAAGUUUAAUUCGGC